rnacentral:rRNA from 1 species
AUGGUUAAGCAAGAAGACUUCAAUGCUUAUUUUGGUAGAGAAUUAAAACACAGUGCUGAUAUGCUUGAACACUUGGGUGAUUAUAUGGCUAAUGUCAAAGGUGAACUUAAACUUAUUAGUAAACAUGCUUCUAUGGUUACCACUCAAGUAGAACAAGUACUUAAAGCUCAAAAUGAUUUGCUCAAUGAAUUGAAUAGAAAGAAUAAGGCCUAUGCUGUUAGAGUGGCUACUAGAACUAGUAAAAUGACUCAGGAACCUUUGUAUCCUGAAGGCCACCCUAAGAGAAUUGAGCAAGAUUCUCAGAGAAAUAAUAUAGAUGAACCUAGUCCUUCUAAAAGGAAGAAAAAGAAAAAUGAUAGGACUUUGCACGCUUCUAGUGAACCUAUUGCUAAAACACCUGAGAAUCCAAAUGAUAUUUCUAUUUCUGAUGCUGAAACACAAUCUGGUAAUGAACCUGAAACUAGUGAUAAUUUUAAUGAUAAUGUUGAUGAUGAUGCUCAACCUAGCAAUGAUAAUGAUAUAGAAAUUGAAACUGUUGUUGAUCUUGAUAACCCACAAUCAAAGAAUCAACGUUAUGAUAAGAAAGACUUUGUUGCUAGGAAACAUGGUAAAGAAAGAGAACCAUGGGUUCAAAAACCUAUGCCUUUUCCUCCCAAACCAUCCAAGAAAUAG